UACGUAGGGUGCGAGCGUUAAUCGGAAUUACUGGGCGUAAAGCGUGCGCAGGCGGUUUUGUAAGCCGGAUGUGAAAUCCCCGGGCUUAACCUGGGAAUGGCAUUCGGGACUGCAAGGCUGGAGUGCGGCAGAGGAGACUGGAAGUCCUGGUGUAGCAGUGAAAUGCGUAGAUAUCAGGAGGAACACCGAUGGCGAAGGCAGGUCUCUGGGCUGACACUGACGCUCAUGCACGAAAGCGUGGGGAGCAAACAGG
rnacentral:rRNA from 1 species